CAGUACUUUAAAGAAGACUUGAAGGUGUGAGGUGAAGCUACAGCAGUGCACCUGCUAGAAGCUUCUAGCAGCUUCCAGGAAUUAUCAGAUCUUAGAGCCAAGUUUACUGAGGAAUAUAUCUUGUCAGUGUUCCAGAUUUCAAUCCCAACAACGUUAGAUUUGAUCUGCUUUUUCUUCAGU